UGAGGACAGGGCAGUGCCAGCUGUGGGAAGGGGGAAGAGAAGUCAAAAAGCAGGGGCCGAACCUGGCGGGGGGCUGUCCGGGGCUCAGCAGCACCCCCCGCCGCCGCUCUCCCCGCGCAGAUCUGCGCAUGCGCCACGCCAACUGCGCCACCACCCCCUUCGCACCCGGAGCAACCCCAACCCCGCGCAAACGGCGCAGCGAGUCGUGACUGAGUCCCAGCGGAAAAGCUAAUCCCAGCCCGCCAAAGCCUGGUCUUUCCACGAGCAAGUCGUAGAAAUGAAGUGCACAGCUCCGCCAGGCAGCACAAACUGCCCCACAGGGCCACCCUGGGGACACUGCCACCAGACCCUGGGUCGAAGGCAAGGCUGGGAUCUCUGCUAGUCCUAAUUAUCUUAACGCACCUGCCUGACAAGGGCGGGUGUGUGUGUGUGUGUGAAAUAAAUCAAAAGUUA